UUUAACUGAAGAGUUUGAUCAUGGCUCAGAUUGAACGCUGGCGGCAGGCUUAACACAUGCAAGUCGAGCGGAGAGAGGUAGCUUGCUACUGAUCUUAGCGGCGGACGGGUGAGUAAUGCUUAGGAAUCUGCCUAUUAGUGGGGGACAACAUCUCGAAAGGGAUGCUAAUACCGCAUACGUCCUACGGGAGAAAGCAGGGGAUCUUCGGACCUUGCGCUAAUAGAUGAGCCUAAGUCGGAUUAGCUAGUUGGUGGGGUAAAGGCCUACCAAGGCGACGAUCUGUAGCGGGUCUGAGAGGAUGAUCCGCCACACUGGGACUGAGACACGGCCCAGACUCCUACGGGAGGCAGCAGUGGGGAAUAUUGGACAAUGGGGGAACCCUGAUCCAGCCAUGCCGCGUGUGUGAAGAAGGCCUUAUGGUUGUAAAGCACUUUAAGCGAGGAGGAGGCUACUUUAGAUAAUACCUAGAGAUAGUGGACGUUACUCGCAGAAUAAGCACCGGCUAACUCUGUGCCAGCAGCCGCGGUAAUACAGAGGGUGCAAGCGUUAAUCGGAUUUACUGGGCGUAAAGCGCGCGUAGGCGGCUAAUUAAGUCAAAUGUGAAAUCCCCGAGCUUAACUUGGGAAUUGCAUUCGAUACUGGUUAGCUAGAGUGUGGGAGAGGAUGGUAGAAUUCCAGGUGUAGCGGUGAAAUGCGUAGAGAUCUGGAGGAAUACCGAUGGCGAAGGCAGCCAUCUGGCCUAACACUGACGCUGAGGUGCGAAAGCAUGGGGAGCAAACAGGAUUAGAUACCCUGGUAGUCCAUGCCGUAAACGAUGUCUACUAGCUGUUGGGGCCUUUGAGGCUUUAGUGGCGCAGCUAACGCGAUAAGUAGACCGCCUGGGGAGUACGGUCGCAAGACUAAAACUCAAAUGAAUUGACGGGGGCCCGCACAAGCGGUGGAGCAUGUGGUUUAAUUCGAUGCAACGCGAAGAACCUUACCUGGCCUUGACAUAGUAAGAACUUUCCAGAGAUGGAUUGGUGCCUUCGGGAACUUACAUACAGGUGCUGCAUGGCUGUCGUCAGCUCGUGUCGUGAGAUGUUGGGUUAAGUCCCGCAACGAGCGCAACCCUUUUCCUUAUUUGCCAGCGAGUAAUGUCGGGAACUUUAAGGAUACUGCCAGUGACAAACUGGAGGAAGGCGGGGACGACGUCAAGUCAUCAUGGCCCUUACGGCCAGGGCUACACACGUGCUACAAUGGUCGGUACAAAGGGUUGCUACACAGCGAUGUGAUGCUAAUCUCAAAAAGCCGAUCGUAGUCCGGAUUGGAGUCUGCAACUCGACUCCAUGAAGUCGGAAUCGCUAGUAAUCGCGGAUCAGAAUGCCGCGGUGAAUACGUUCCCGGGCCUUGUACACACCGCCCGUCACACCAUGGGAGUUUGUUGCACCAGAAGUAGCUAGCCUAACUGCAAAGAGGGCGGUUACCACGGUGUGGCCGAUGACUGGGGUGAAGUCGUAACAAGGUAGCCGUAGGGGAACCUGCGGCUGGAUCACCUCCUUAA
rnacentral:rRNA from 1 species